AAUAUUAUAUUACAAAGUAAAAAUACAAAAUUAAAAAAUAAAAAGUACAUAUAGUAACUGCAUUUAUCAAAUCCAAAACAAUUCAAAUCUAAAUCCCAUUAAGGUCUAGAAACAUUGAAUAUUAACAUCCUACUCUCAUCAAUUUCACCACGUAUAUCUCGAACUUGAUUAUGAGAGUUGUUCUUCCAUUCGCCUUCUUCAAAUCACCAUCCCUUCUUUAAAAAAAAUGUUGCUACUUUUACAGAAUCGUCUUCUCUAAUCUAACACCCGAGCACGAUCCAUCAAGUUGUGUCAACACAGUUCCUUCAAUCCAACCUCCCAUCACGCUGGUCGCCUUCUUCCUCCUCUCAAAAGUUGCAGGUACUUCUAUCUCUGCUUGCAACAUGAAACUUGAUUUUACACCGAUUGCUCAACUAGAGUCUGUGACUGAGAAUGAAAUUUGGAAAAUUAAAGCAUGAGUUGACCGUUUUUGGCUAUUCCAAAAUAAUGAUAAGCCUGGAGAUUCUGAUGUACUUGAUUUAGUACUUGUGGAUGAUAAGGUGGAAAACAAAAUUCAAAUAUAUGUUUAUUUGAUUUAGAUAUUUUUGUACUUUUGUAAUCCAAUUUUUUCUCUUUUAAUGACAGGGAGACCGUAUACAAGCAUGCAUCAGAGGAAAAUUAAUUCAAAAGUUCGAAUAAGAUCUUCAAGAAGGAGAAUGUCGUAUACUGAUGAAUUUUAAGUUGUCUCCUAAUUUUGGGAGUUACAGGGCAACUGGACACUCUUUCAAAAUCUUUCUCACUUGGUCAACAAUUGUGAAGCCUUGUGAGGAAAUCCCAAACCAAUCACUUCGUUUCAGUUUCAUCCCUUUUGAUAAGCUUCAGAGACAUGACGAAAACCCUUGGUACGUGUUGGUGAAAUCGUUGGAAUGAAUGAUCUUAAGGAAAUUACUGUUCGCAAUGCUCCAUCUAAAUUGCUGAAUGUUCAACUCAAGAGCCUUGAGUUAGUAACUUCCAACUUGGUAGUCAUUAUUAUUAAUCUAUUAUGUCUCUCUUUUCAAAAUCGUGUUCUUAUAUAUGCAGUGAUUCAAUAAUUGAUUGUGUAUUUUGGGGAUUGUGGCAUAGUGAACAUUACCGAAAUCAGAUUUGGGGAUUGAAACGAACGUCUUUAGAUAUCACCGGCCAGACAUCGAGCUGCACCCAGAUUUACUUACAUCUUUCAUCUUUUCGUGAUGAUAUGUGUCGAACGAACGAAAUCGAAUUUUUUUUCUCAGAAAUCGAACUGCAACUAUAUCACUUUUUGUUUCCUGAGACUCUCAUCGAAAUCGAGCUACACUUAGAUCAA